rnacentral:rRNA from 1 species
GGUAGAGCACUGUUUCGGCUAGGGGGUCAUCCCGACUUACCAAACCGAUGCAAACUCCGAAUACCUAUGAGUACUAUCCGGGAGACAGACUGCGGGUGCUAACGUCCGUAGUCAAGAGGAAAACAAUCCAGACCGCCAGCUAAGGCCCCAAAAUCAUAGUUAAGUGGGAAACGAUGUGGGAAGGCAUAGACAGCUAGGAGGUUGGCUUAGAAGCAGCCACCCUUUAAAGAAAGCGUAAUAGCUCACUAGUCGAGUCGGCCUGCGCGGAAGAUGUAACGGGGCUAAAACUAUGUGCCGAAGCUGCGGAUUUGACAUUAGUCAAGUGGUAGGGGAGCGUUCUGUAAGCCGAUGAAGGUGUAUUGAGAAGUAUGCUGGAGGUAUCAGAAGUGCGAAUGCUGACGUGAGUAACGACAAAACGGGUGAAAAACCCGUUCGCCGAAAGACCAAGGGUUCCAGUCCAACGUUAAUCGGGGCUGGGUGAGUCGACCCCUAAGGCGAGGCCGAAAGGCGUAGUCGAUGGGAAAAUGGUUAAUAUUCCAUUACUUCUGUGUAAUGCGAUGAGAGGACGGAGAAGGCUAAAUCAGCCUGGCGUUGGUUGUCCAGGUGAAAGGAUGUAGGCAUGUAUCUUAGGCAAAUCCGGGGUACUCUAUGCUGAGAUCUGAUAGCAAGCUGUACUUGUACAGCGAAGUGGUUGAUGCCAUGCUUCCAGGAAAAGUCUCUAAGCUUCAGUUACACAGGAAUCGUACCCGAAACCGACACAGGUGGUCAGGUCGAGUAGACCAAGGCGCUUGAGAGAACUCUGCUGAAGGAACUAGGCAAAAUGGUACCGUAACUUCGGGAGAAGGUACGCUGUUGUUGGUGAUGGAACUCGCUUCCUGAGCUGACGACAGCCGCAGAAACCAGGCCGCUGCAACUGUUUAUUAAAAACAUAGCACUCUGCAAACACGAAAGUGGACGUAUAGGGUGUGAUGCCUGCCCGGUGCUGGAAGGUUAAUUGAUGGGGUUAGCGUAAGCGAAGCUCUUGAUCGAAGCCCCAGUAAACGGCGGCCGUAACUAUAACGGUCCUAAGGUAGCGAAAUUCCUUGUCGGGUAAGUUCCGACCUGCACGAAUGGCAUAAUGAUGGCGGCGCUGUCUCCAGCAGAGGCUCAGUGAAAUCGAAAUCGCUGUGAAGAUGCAGUGUACCCGCGGCUAGACGGAAAGACCCCGUGAACCUUUACUGCAGCUUGACACUGAACUUUGACCUUACUUGUGUAGGAUAGGUGGGAGGCUUUGAAGCUGGAACGCUAGUUCCAGUGGAGCCGUCCUUGAAAUACCACCCUGGUAAUGUUGAGGUUCUAACUCUGUCCCGUGAUCCGGGACGAGGACCGUGUCUGGUGGGUAGUUUGACUGGGGCGGUCUCCUCCUAAAGAGUAACGGAGGAGUACGAAGGUGCGCUCAGCGUGGUCGGAAAUCACGCGUAGAGUAUAAAGGCAAAAGCGCGCUUAACUGCGAGACCCACAAGUCGAGCAGGUACGAAAGUAGGUCUUAGUGAUCCGGUGGUUCUGUAUGGAAGGGCCAUCGCUCAACGGAUAAAAGGUACUCUGGGGAUAACAGGCUGAUACCGCCCAAGAGUUCAUAUCGACGGCGGUGUUUGGCACCUCGAUGUCGGCUCAUCUCAUCCUGGGGCUGAAGCAGGUCCCAAGGGUAUGGCUGUUCGCCAUUUAAAGAGGUACGCGAGCUGGGUUUAGAACGUCGUGAGACAGUUCGGUCCCUAUCUACCGUGGGCGCUGGAAAUUUGAGAGGAUCUGCUCCUAGUACGAGAGGACCAGAGUGGACGAACCUCUGGUGUACCGGUUGUGACGCCAGUCGCAUCGCCGGGUAGCUAUGUUCGGAAGGGAUAACCGCUGAAAGCAUCUAAGCGGGAAGCCUACCUCAAGAUAAGAUUUCCCUAGGACUUUAUGUCCUCUAAAGAGCCGUUCGAGACUAGGACGUUGAUAGGUUGGAUGUGGAAGCAUAGUGAUAUGUGAAGCUGACCAAUACUAAUUGCUCGUGAGGCUUGACUAU